rnacentral:rRNA from 1 species
UACGUAGGGAGCGAGCGUUAUCCGGAUUUAUUGUGUGUAGAGGGUGCGUAGAUGGAUAAACAAGUUGGUUGUGAAAUCCCUCGGCUUAACUGAGGAAUUGCAACCAAAACUGUAGAUCUUGAGUACUGGAGGGGAAAGCGGAAUUCCUAGUGUAGCGGUGAAAUGCGUAGAUAUUAGGAAGAACACCGGUGGCGAAGGCGGCUUUCUGGACAGAAACUGACAUUGAGGCACGAAAGUGUGGGGAGCAAACA